UACGGAGGGUGCGAGCGUUAAUCGGAAUCACUGGGCGUAAAGCGCGCGUAGGCGGCGGAGUAAGUCGGGUGUGAAAGCCCUGGGCUUAACCCAGGAAUUGCAUUCGAUACUGCUUAGCUAGAGUAUGGUAGAGGGAAGCGGAAUUCCGGGUGUAGCGGUGAAAUGCGUAGAGAUCCGGAGGAACACCAGUGGCGAAGGCGGCUUCCUGGACCAAUACUGACGCUGAGGUGCGAAAGCGUGGGGAGCAAACAGG
rnacentral:rRNA from 1 species